rnacentral:misc_RNA from 1 species
ACACCUCAACCCUCCAAUGUUUUUGCAUUGAAGGUGUCGGUAGUGAGCGCUGCCGGACUUUUGGUCGGCUCGCUUUAAAAUCAUUAGCUGGAUCCAUUCUGACCUGGUUCUACUCGGCGUAAUAAGUUAAUAUCGUCGAGGACGUUUGUCUUUCUAGGCAGGCGGCCACAGUAAGGGCGUUUGAACCGAUUCCAACACGUCUUGCUCUUGUAGCAAACACUUGAAC